rnacentral:rRNA from 1 species
CCCUAUGGGGUGCAGCAGGCCUCGUUCGUCAUCAGCGAUCUGCAGAACAGGAACGGAUCCCGGCGCCAAAGGCUGGCGGCGAUUCUGCAGUUCAGUCUUCCCGGCGUGCCCUGUAUCUAUUAUGGAGAUGAAAGAGGCAUGCUCGGGUUCCUCGAUCCCUUCAAUCGGGAGACAUUCCGGCAAGCGCCAUACGACCUGACGGAUCUUUAUGCGACAUUAGGUCAUUUGCGCAACGGGGCGGAUGCAUUGCAGACAGGUUAUGCCGUGUUCUUUGCGCCCGAUCCCGACUGCCUUGGUGUGCUGCGCUAUGUGACGGGAGGACAAGACGCCCUGGGAGAGC